UCGGUCGUGUGACGGUGCCAUCCAGCUGGCGAACGCUGGUGUGACUGUGCAGGGAGCACGUUGCCUCUGGUGACGUCCAGCUGGGCGCGAGACCUCGCUGCUGGUAGCGGAGCGACGUCGGGGAGACGCGCUUCGGGAGGCGCGCGGGCGCGGCGCGUGCCCGUUGCAUCGGUUGCAAGAGAUGCGUCCGUCCCGAGCAGCCAUCCCUUAGAUCGGUGCGAGGAUGAUAUGCGUUAUUAGCUGAUAUAAGCGAUAUUUACGAAGUUCGUCGUGCCGUAUCCAGUAUGAUGCCCACGCACUCGGACGACGAUCUCAUGUGCUGGCUGACCAACCAGCUGGUGUGCCAAGUGGACGCCAAGCAGCAGCCGCCGCCGCC